CUUGGUCAUUUAGAGGAAGUAAAAGUCGUAACAAGGUUUCCGUAGUGAACCUGCGGAAGGAUCAUUAUCGAAUUACCGAGGGUUGAUGCUGGCAGUCCUUGAUUGCAUGUGCUCGCUCUCUUUAAUCCACUCACACAUGUGCAUUAAUAUUUUUUUUCGAAGGCAGGGCAAAGCCUUGCCUUUGAAAGUUUAUAAAUUCUUAUUUCGUGUAAUGGAUGCUUACCUGUCAUAAGGGGGGAAAUUUAAUACAACUUUUAACAACGGAUCUCUUGGCUCUCGCAUCGAUGAAGAACGCAGCGAAAUGCGUUAAGUAAUGUGAAUUGCAGAAUUCAGUGAAUCAUCGAAUCUUUGAACGCACCUUGCACUCUCUGGUAUUCCGGAGAGUACGCCUGUUCGAGUGUCAUGAAACUCUCAAGCAAGGGUAGCUUUUUCUUGCUAUCUUUGCUUGGAUUUGGACUUUGCUGUGUCAAUGCGGCUAGUCUUAAAUGGAUUAGCUGGUCCUUAUGGGGAAGGGACUUUGGUUCUACUCAGCGUGAUAAUUAUCUGACGUUGAGGACAGUCUUUUAGGGGCUGGCAGAGCUUUCCUUUGGAUUGCUUCUAAUUGUCAUAAGACAUAUCAUUCAAUAUCUGACCUCGAAUCAGGUGGGAUUACCGCUGAACUUAAGCAUAUCAAUAAGCGGAGGA
rnacentral:misc_RNA from 1 species